rnacentral:rRNA from 1 species
UAAUACGAAGGGUGCAAGCGUUGCUCGGAAUUAUUGGGCGUAAAGGGUUGGUAGGUGGUCUUGUUUGUCUCGGGUGAAAUCCCAUGGCUUAACUGUGGAAGUGCCCGAGAAACGGCAAGACUAGAGUCCUAGAGGGGUUUGUGGAAUUCCCGGUGUAGCGGUGAAAUGCGUAGAGAUCGGGAGGAACACCAGCGGCGAAGGCGGCAAACUGGAUAGGCACUGACACUCAACAACGAAAGCGUGGGGAGCAAACAGG